rnacentral:rRNA from 1 species
UACGGGGGGAGCAAGCGUUGUUCGGAUUUACUGGGCGUAAAGGGCGCGUAGGCGGCCUCUGCAAGUCGACUGUGAAAUCUCCGGGCUUAACCCGGAAAGGUCAGCCGAUACUGCAGGGCUAGAGUGCAGAAGGGGCAACUGGAAUUCUCGGUGUAGCGGUGAAAUGCGUAGAUAUCAAGAGGAACACCUGAGGUGAAGACGGGUUGCUGGGCUGACACUGACGCUGAGGCGCGAAAGCCAGGGGAGCAAACGGG